rnacentral:rRNA from 1 species
CAGCCGCGGUAAUACGGAGGGGGCAAGCGUUGUUCGGAAUUACUGGGCGUAAAGGGCGCGUAGGCGGAUAUUCAAGUCAGAGGUGAAAGCCCCGGGCUCAACCUGGGAAUUGCCUUUGAAACUGGAUGUCUGGAGUUCGGGAGAGGUGAGCGGAAUACCCAGUGUAGAGGUGAAAUUCGUAGAUAUUGGGUAGAACACCGGUGGCGAAGGCGGCUCACUGGCCCGCAACUGACGCUGAGGCGCGAAAGCGUGGGGAGCAAACAGGAUUAGAUACCCUGGUAGUCCACGCCGUAAACGAUGUGUGCUAGCCGUUGGGAUGCUUUGCAUUUCAGUGGCGCAGCUAACGCGAUAAGCACACCGCCUGGGGAGUACGGUCGCAAGAUUAAAACUCAAA